UUAAAAUAUUCGUGUAAUGAAAAAUUAUCAUUCAGGCAACGGUAUUAUACAUAUAUGAUCUUCUCCGUUAAGAUCGAAGACGCAAGAACGCAAGAGGUUUAAUCAUAAAAACAUCAAGCAAUGCGAUAUAGGUGUUCUCCUGAUGCAAUACUCGGGGACACAAAUGGUUGUCGUACACCGUCGUUAUAAUGCUUCGAAGGGAUUAAGCGGCUGUAUGAGUUCGAAUAAUACCGUAUGAGCGUAAACUUGCGGAACAGUUGAAAACAAAAGCUCGAAGCCGGUUGGUGAUCACGUGUAGAUACCACUGAUCGUGAUAUAUGAAUAUAGACUACAAUUACUCUUCGGAACCUUGCAUCAGUGUCACUGGAUUAUUUAUAGCUAUAAAGGAAUUCACGGUGUGGUUAAACUGGGCCGAUGAUGGUUAUUGGAAAACUGCAUAUCAGCAAGGUCACAUCAACGAGUAUCUAGGCACCAUAAUUAAUGGCGAAAAGGGAGAGACAGAAAAAAAAAAAAAUGACGGAAUUCCUGUAGCGGAAGAAUAACAGAGAGUUCGAAAAUGACAAAAUGUCGGAAAUAAAGUCUAUUAAUAAUUCGGUUUAUUUAUGGAAACGGGGCGUACGAUGAAAAAAUUGUAGUCAUCGUCAUCGUUAUAUUUGCUCACACACGCGAUAAUUUGAACUGCUCUUUAGCCGCGACGUAUUACGAUUCAUUUCAACAGCGUUAUCAAUUCGUAUAUUGUAAUAAACGUUUCAUGGAAAUGUUGUUCGCGAUAAAAUACAAAGAUAGUACUGUAGGCACGCAGGAAAGAUCAAAAUGAUUUUUCUUCGCCAAGCAUUAACAUCUUCAUUCAAAUUAAAUAAGUUUCCUUUUGCAACUCUCAGAAGAAUAAAUUUCCUUAUUAAGCAAUGGUACACAUAUGUUAUAUACAUUAAUCUUUCUGGUACAUAACAAACAAUUUGGCCUUCUUAUAAUAUAUGUACGUCAAAUAAUAGGCUCGCAACAAAUAUGCUUAAGAAAGUCAGUGUUGUAAUGUAUAUUUAUUAACUGAACACAUUGAAAGAAACAUAUGCCAGGGUAGUAUAAACAUUGAUACUAAAACAUACUCAUGAAUAUACAUCAAAUUGUGCCGUAAGUUCUUGAAGAAGAUUGUGAUACUAUUUUCUUAAAAAAGUAAUCGAUUCGCUAAAAGAAGAUGGAAAAUAAUUGUACACAUACUAUUCGUAUGAAAGCUAAAAACAACACUGACAAGUAUCGUAUGAAACAUGCAUUUAAAUUAACCUGCAUUCAAGCAAUAAUUUACGUGCAAAUUGGAUCAUUACAAAUUAUACCCUUUAUAUAAAUAUGGCUUAUUAUUUGAAGAAAGUGAUUUGAGUUUAAUGCAUUUAUUCAUUAUAUAGACAAUCCCAAAAGCUUUGCGUUCUAACAGGUAUUAGAUACAUUACGAUAUAGUUAUAUUUUACUUACGUACUUUACUUUAAUAGAAAAUUCAUACAUAUUCACACAUAGUUUCUUGCCAUAAAGAAGCUAAUGGGACAUUAUCAAUAUGAUGAUUGAGUUGACUGAGAAUGAAGAUGAUAUCUUGGGAAAAUUUUGAUGUUGCAGGUACCACAAUGCUGUAUAUCUAGCUUUCUACUUUAUUUUACAUCGUAAAUCAUAAGCAAACGAUGGCGAGCGUUCACGCACGACGUUGAGGCAGGUAAAAGCGCAACUAAAGAACGGAAAAAAGAACUACAUGGGGUGGUUUCCUUGUUGCAUACCGGCAAAAUCCGGAGAGAAAAUAUCUUUUAGCCUGGCUUUCUUCUGAACCUGGUCUUUCUGCGUGUGGUAUACUUUACCGCAAAGAGUGUUCCGACAUGUAGCAUGAGAAAAGAGAACAAACAAAAGGAAAUAGUUUUGCCUUCUGAGAAAGUAAAGAAAAAGUGCGGAAUAAAUCCAAAGACCUCUGACGUGUCUAAAGAAUUACGACGGACUGCAACAACUGGAAGAGAUCGAUAUCUUUUUCUUUUUUUUUUUUAUGUAUAUAUAUAUAUGUGCUUUUCUCUCUAAUAUCCUACAAACCACGAAUUAGAAACGAACUUUCGACAAACGAGGAGACUCGAGGAAAACCAUUCGUCGACUCGUAAUAUACACAGAUAUUGGAUGUCAUAAAGUAGAUCGCGCACGAUUUAAUCUUCCUUUGGCUGGAAAGAAAUCGUAUACAUAUAUACUCGAUGUACGCGGCGCGACUUCGCAUUGAGCGAUUUUCACUGGGUAUUACCGAGAAAACUUUCAAUCAACUGUACACCAAACUGAAGAUGAUAUUACCGAAAACAAUUUCACACUUUAUUUUCACAUAGGCUCCCUUUUUAUCACGUACCUUCCAACAAUCUUUGUAUCAGGUUGUCGACGUUCAACUCGACAUCCGCCAUUUUUUCUUGCCACUGACUGACUGACCCGAUGUUUGUAGACUAGAUGAUACGUUUGUGUACGCACUUAACUGUAUAUAUUACUCUCGUCGACUUUCAUUGUGUAUAUACAUGUGCUGUUAUCGACUGCUUAGUCCUAUAUAAAUACAAGAAAGAUGAUCAUCGCAAAAACCUAAUUUUAUCGUCAUUAAAUAUUAUUUCCCAGAAAAAAUGAACAUGGAUUUAGAUGAAUGCAACUGUACUGCAUUUGGUUUAUCUAUAUAUGCAUACAUAUAUCUAUAUAUGCGUAUAUCAAACAAUAAUACAUCUUAUGUAACGCGAAAUGUCUAUUCUUAUAUAAAUGAAUGCAAUGUAAUGCAUUGUAACAAUUUGCAUAUUGUAAGAAUGUUUAUGAUUUGAUCGUAUCAUUGAAAUUUACAAUUUACAUAGGCAGUCAAUGAUUGAUAUCUUGUUUGGAAAAUACGAUAAAAUCAUAAUUUCAUAUCAUAUAAAUAAAAUCAUAUAUUUAUACAUAACAACAUAAAUUUCUACUAUGUACAUUUAAUUCAUAAUAAAUAUACAUAACGUAAUUUUUUAAUCUCGGUAAUUGAACAUAAUUUUACCUGAAGACUGUUAAAAAAGCAAGAAGAGAUAAAACGUGCAUUUAGAAUGC